UAAGACUUGCAGGACACUAACCCACAUUUUUUGAAUGCAACUCAAACUAUUUAAUUAAAAUAAAGUCU
rnacentral:tRNA from 1 species